rnacentral:rRNA from 1 species
UACGUAGGGUGCAAGCGUUGUCCGGAAUUAUUGGGCGUAAAGAGCUCGUAGGCGGUUUGUCGCGUCUGCUGUGAAAACCCGAGGCUCAACCUCGGGCCUGCAGUGGGUACGGGCAGACUAGAGUGCGGUAAGGGAGAUUGGAAUUCCUGGUGUAGCGGUGGAAUGCGCAGAUAUCAGGAGGAACACCAAUGGCGAAGGCAGAUCUCUGGGCCGUAACUGACGCUGAGGAGCGAAAGCAUGGGGAGCAAACAGG